rnacentral:rRNA from 1 species
UACGUAGGGGUGCGAGCGUUGUCCGGAAUUAUUGGGCGUAAAGAGCUUGUAGGCGGUUUGUCGCGUCGGCUGUGAAAACUCGGGGGCUCAACCCCCGAGCCUGCAGUCGAUACGGGCAGACUAGAGUUCGGUAGGGGAGACUGGAAUUCCUGGUGAGCGGUGAAAUGCGCAGAUAUCAGGAGGAACACCGGUGGCGAAGGCGGGUCUCUGGGCCGAAACUGACGCUGAGGAGCGAAAGCGUGGGGAGCGAACAGG